AUUGAACGCUGGCGGCAUGCCUUACACAUGCAAGUCGAACGGCAGCACGGGUGCUUGCACCUGGUGGCGAGUGGCGAACGGGUGAGUAAUAUAUCGGAACGUACCUUAUCGUGGGGGAUAACGCAGCGAAAGCUGCGCUAAUACCGCAUACGCCCUGAGGGGGGAAAAGCGGGGGGACCGUAAGGGCCUCGCGCGAUUAGAGCGGCCGAUAUCUGAUUAGGUAGUUGGUGGGGUAAAGGCUCACCAAGCCAACGAUCUGUAGCUGGUCUGAGAGGACGACCAGCCACACUGGAACUGAGACACGGUCCAGACUCCUACGGGAGGCAGCAGU
rnacentral:rRNA from 1 species